GAGGCCUGCUGCCCUCCUCUCUGGCGUCUGUAAGUAGUAAACAUGUCUUCUGUUAGAGCAUAUGUUGUGCUGUGCUGCCCUGUGUCUCACAGGACUGGCACACCCAAACAGAAUUCUCCUCCCAGCUAGAGCUCUCCUAGAGUGCGGCGUCUUGGUGGAAAUAAACUGGACACAGGUCAGACAACAGCCACAAGAUACCGCCAGGAUAAGCAAGAGGUGGAGGAAACCGGAAGCCAUGUUGUGAGGACACUCAAGCCACCCUGAGAAGAGGCCCGUGUAAUGAGGAAAUAAGGCCUCCUGCCAAACACCAAUAUGGACGAGAAGCCUCCUGCCCAUAGCCAUGUGAGUGUGCCAACUUGGAAGUAGAUUCUUCAGCCCUGGUCCAGCCUUCCAACAAUGGCAGCCCCAGCUGACAAUGUGACUAUAACAUCAUGAGACACCCAGAACCACAGCCAGCCAGCAAAGCCAGUCCAAAAUUCCUGACCCACAGAAACUAUAAGAUAAUAAAUGUUUACUGAGCUGCUAUGUUGGAGGAGUUUGUCAUGCAGCAAUAGGCAAAUCCUUAAUUCACCGCCUCCCCUACCUCCACCACACAUGGAACUAUUCUUCUCUGAUCUUUAGGCUCAACACAGGGGGUUUCUAACUGUUUUGUGCCACUGACUUCUUUGUUGAUGCAUGGGUUUCCUAUGGCUGCUAUAACAAAUGAUCACAAAUUCAAUGGCUUAGAACAACACAGAUUUACUAUCUUGCAGUUCUGGAGGCUAGAAGUCCAAACAAGUCUUGUGGGGCCAAAAUCAAGGCAUCAGCAGGUGUUUCCUUGCCUUUUCCAGCUUCCAGAGGCUGCCACACUCCCUGGCUUAUGGCCGCCUUCUGUCUUCAAAGCCAGCAAUCACUUUAUUCCCAUCUCUGUUUCCAUCACCACAUCAUCUUCUCUGACUCUGACCCCAACUCUCUUGCCUCCCUCUUUCACUUAUAAAGACCCUUGUGGUGACACUGGUCACACUUUGAUGCUCCAGGAUUAAUCUCUCCAUCUUAAGGUCAGCUAAUUAGCCACCUUAGUUCUAUCUGCAACCCUAAUUCCUCCUUGCGACAUAACAUUAACAUUUCACGGUUUCUUGGGAUUAGGACAGGGACAUCUUUGGGUAGCCAUUAUUCUGCCUGCAGUCAGUUUGGUGAAGCCUGUGGACCCUUUUUCAGGAUAACACUUUCAAGUGCAUAAAAUCACAGACAUAUGACUCCAAAUGAAACUAAUUCCACUGAAUACAGUUACUAAAAUACUUUAAUGCAGUUAUUAAAAUACUUUAAAAACAAAUGUGUGAUGUAGUAAUACAUGUGCAUCUUUUUUAACAUACUAGAAGAUCUAUAAUUGAACUGGUAACUACCUUAAUUUCAAAGUGGAGAUGAAUGUACAGAUUCAAGAUUGUCUGCAAUAAAAUGUUCAAGAUUGUCUGCAAUAAAAAGAACUAAGCUGGAGGCAUCACGU
rnacentral:lncRNA from 1 species